rnacentral:tRNA from 1 species
GAGGGGAUAGCUCAGUGGUAGAGUGCGUGCUUUGCAUGCUCAAGGUCCUGGGUUCAAUCUCCAGUACCUCCA